GUUUGUCGCACAUAGCUUGAUUGAGACAACACAAAUAUGAGGUUGACUGUGAUUGGUUACCACAAAUUCGGAUCACAGGUUGUGUUAAGGGGUGGAUUAAAAAAAAAAAGUUCAGUCUUGCCGAUCCAAUCACGAACAACGUACCUUCUCCCGCCGUACUUUGAAUUUUCGGGAUGCUAUAUAUAUCUGCCCAGCCUUUUGGCGGACUUUUUAUGGACAAUCAUGUCUGAACGUACCGCUGCGUUUCGACGGAGAGUCAAUGAUAUCAGAGACAGAAUGAAUGCCCAAUUUAACCGGCUACUUAAUCAAGAUGACGGUGAAGAGGGGACUUCUCUUCUACAAAGCUUUGGAGUUUUCCGCCAACAGCACGGGGGUGGACCAGUGCGCAGGCCAAGAGGCGGGAGAACCAGACAUCGCCAGUUAACGUUUAAGGUGUCAGUACUAAGGAAUCCGACACUGACCCACUACCGAUCUCAUAGGGAUGCCACUCCUGCUACUCGGGUGGUCGUUCCUGUAAACCUCAAUGCCGCUGAAUUCAGGCAGGCACUACGGGACAAUAUUGCAGACAUACCUUUGCAGUUCGAUCUAUGCAAAGUGAAUGGACAGCGGCUCAUUCUUCCUCUUGAAGAGGAGACGCCCCAAGAAAUUAGAGCAAGAAACCUACUGGGUCGCUCCAAUCUUUAUAUCCGUCCA
ensembl:lncRNA